ensembl:misc_RNA 7SK 7SK RNA
GGAUGUGAGGGCGCUCUGGCUGCAGCAUGUCACCCCAUUGAUCAUCAGGGUUGAUUCCGCUGAUCUGGCUUGUUAAGGGGGUGUCCCCUUCUUCACUUACCAUACCAUGAGUGUCCCUCCAAAAUGAGAAUGUUUGGUGGAAGAGGAUGACAUUACCUGAUGGAGGUGGAGGACCAUUCUUCAGUCAAGGGUAUAGGAGUAGCUGUUCUCCCCUGCUGGAACCUCUAAACAAGCUCUCAUGGUCAAUUUGUAGGAGAACGUAGGAUAGUCAAGCUUCCAAGACUCCAGACGCGGAUCCAAAGGACGCACUGUUUUUUUUGGCAGUCUGCCUUUCUUU